rnacentral:rRNA from 1 species
CGCUGGCGGCGUGCCUAAUACAUGCAAGUCGAACGGUCUUUCUAUGGAAGCUUGCUUCCACUGAGAAGAUAGUGGCGAACGGGUGAGUAACACGUGGGUAACCUGCCCAUAAGAGGGGGGAUAACAUCCGGAAACGGGUGCUAAUACCGCAUAGUUUUCUUGAUCACAUGAUUGAGAAAGGAAAGACGGCCUUUGUGCUGUCGCUUACGGAUGGACCCGCGGCGUAUUAGUUAGUUGGUGAGGUAACGGCUCACCAAGACGAUGAUACGUAGCCGACCUGAGAGGGUGAUCGGCCACAUUGGGACUGAGACACGGCCCAAACUCCUACGGGAGGCAGCAGUAGGGAAUCUUCCGCAAUAGACGAAAGUCUGACGGAGCAACGCCGCGUGAGUGAAGAAAGGUUUUCGGAUCGUAAAACUCUGUUGUCAGAGAAGAACAAGUUGGAGAGUAACUGCUCCAGCCUUGACGGUAUCUGACCAGAAAGCCACGGCUAACUACGUGCCAGCCGCAGC